CUCCGGUUGAUCCUGCCGGACCCGACUGCUAUCAGAGUGGGACUAAGCCAUGCGAGUCAACAUAGCAAUAUGUGGCAUACGGCUCAGUAACACGUAGUCAACAUGCCCAGGGGACGUGGAUAACCUCGGGAAACUGAGGAUAAACCGCGAUAGGUCAUCACUUCUGGAAUGGGUAAUGACUUAAAUCUAUAUGGCCCCUGGAUUGGACUGCGGCCGAUCAGGCUGUUGGUGAGGUAAUGGCCCACCAAACCUGUAACCGGUACGGGCUCUGAGAGGAGGAGCCCGGAGAUGGGCACUGAGACAAGGGCCCAGGCCCUAUGGGGCGCAGCAGGCGCGAAACCUCUGCAAUAGGCGAAAGCUUGACAGGGUUACUCUGAGCGAUUUCCGUUAAGGAGAUCUUUUGGCACCUCUAAAAAUGGUGCAGAAUAAGGGGUGGGCAAGUCUGGUGUCAGCCGCCGCGGUAAUACCAGCACCCCGAGUGGUCGGGACGUUUAUUGGGCCUAAAGCAUCCGUAGCCGGUUCUACAAGUCUUCCGUUAAAUCCACCUGCUUAACAGAUGGGCUGCGGAAGAUACUAUAGAGCUAGGAGGCGGGAGAGGCAAGCGGUACUCGAUGGGUAGGGGUAAAAUCCGUUGAUCCAUUGAAGACCACCAGUGGCGAAGGCGGCUUGCCAGAACGCGCUCGACGGUGAGGGACGAAAGCUGGGGGAGCAAACCGGAUUAGAUACCCGGGUAGUCCCAGCUGUAAACGAUGCAGACUCGGUGAUGAGUUGGCUUAUUGCUAACUCAGUGCCGCAGGGAAGCCGUUAAGUUUGCCGCCUGGGGAGUACGGUCGCAAGACUGAAACUUAAAGGAAUUGGCGGGGGAGCA
rnacentral:rRNA from 1 species